UAUUGGAACACAGCUAUCAUGUCUCCCCUAGUCCUUCUUUUCAUUAAACUAGGCAUACCCAGUUCCUGCAACCGUUCUUCAUGAUGGUGGCGCAAGAGCGAACGGAGCUGAUGCGCACACACGGUGCACAUCCCCUUCCGAACCGGUAGGGAAGCUCUUCCCAUGCCACGAAAGCCACGUGGGCCUGGCUCGAUCACACCCUGAUGCAGUCUCUCCAAGCUGCCGAAAGGCGGUUUCGUCCGAAACAGAAGCCUCCUGUCCACAGAACAAAAGUGGCUGUGUGUGGCAAGGGAGGGGCGUGGCCGCACGCACACAAACCCAGUAGUUCGGAGAACCAGCAAAUACCACCUCUGGCUGGCUCCAGAGUGGGGUGGGAAUGGGGAUCUUGCAGUAUCCUUCCCCGGCCACACCCACCAAGCCACAUCACACCCACCAAGCCACGC